GUUUUCCGGCUCAUCACUUAGUGCAGUGUUAGUAGUUAGUAAGCAAAUAAUAACUACAAAAAACGUACACUAAGAAAAAAACAUUGAAUUCAAUAUUAGAUAAAACAAACAUUAAAGAAAUACAAACAAUAUAAUUACUUGAGCAAAAAAAAAGACAUAAAAAUAAACACAAACAUUUAUGAGCGUGGUACACUGGUUUUUAAGACAGUUUUUAAUCUAUUUUUAUUAAAGUUUAAAUCAAAAAGGUUUGAAUUUAAAUUUAGAAGUUUACACAUGCGUGUUAAAGGUUCAUGCAAGCCAUAAUUUGUUCGGUGUGGUGGAAUAUUCAUUAAAUCCAAGCAUCGGAGGCUAUAAGCACCCCCUCGAUAGUUAAAACCAACAGAAUUAAGUAAAUUUGGUGCAUGAAUUACGCCUGUGAUUAACUGGUGAAUGAAGAUUAUGUCAUUGUUAACCCUUCUUUGAGCCAAAGUUUGAAUUUAAAGGAGAUUAAUCCGAUGUUCAUAAGGAGGAAGAUUAUAAGGAUCAGACCAUGGCAGUCCUUUUAAGGCGAAACGAAUGAAAUUACGUUGUACUGAUUCCAGUCUUACAUUAUGGGUCUCGUAAAAAGGAGUCCAGACUUGCGAUGCGUACUCAAGGUGGGGGCGUACUAAACAAUUGUAGAGGGAAAGAGUCACAUAAGGAUCUUGAAAUUCUUUUGACCAACGCUUCACAAAACCUAGCAUAGAGAAGGCCUUAUUUACGAUGACGUUGAUAUGGUCGGAAAAAUCAAGGUUAUAACUUAAAUUAACCCCUAAGUCUUUAAAGCUCUGAACACGUUGUAAUUUGUGUUGGGAUAUUUUAUAUUCAUACAAACUAGGAGCACGUUUUUUAGAAAAAGUCAUUGUCUGACAUUUUAUUGGAUUCAAAACUAAGCUAUUCUUACUACACCAUAUAGAAAAAUGAUUAAUGUCCUCUUGGAGAAGCCUCCGAUCAUUAACCGAUUUGAUACUUUUAUAAAUGUUCUUGUCAUCUGCAAAAAUGAGAAUUUCGCUAUGGUGAAUACAUAAUGGGGCAUCAUUUAUAGCUAGAAUAAAAAGAAGAGGUCCUAAAUGACUUCCUUGCGGGACACCUGAUUUUGCGAUCAACGAUUUUGAGAGAGCGUCUCUGAACUUCACUUGAUAAGAUCUAUUUUCAAGAUAAGAAGAAAUCCAAUUAACGAAGCCUAAAGGGAAACCUAGAGUUUUUAAUUUAAAUUUGAUAAUGUCAUGGGAGAGUUGGUCAAAAGCCUUAGAAUAGUCCGUAUAGAUACAGUCAAGUUCUUGCCCACUUUCUAACGUAUUUGAGCACUUAUGUAAAAAAGUAAGCAAGUUUGUAACCGUCGAUCAUUUUUGCAUAAAGCCAUGCUGUUGAAUGCAUAUAAUUCUUUUACGGUGGAACGCCAAGCUAUCGCAAACAACUUGCUCAAAAAGCUUUGGAAUACAAGAAAGCUUAGAUAUGGGUCUAUAAUUAACUAUAUUGGAUUUAUCUCCUUUUUUAAAAACAGGAGUAAUAAACGCUUGUUUCCAAGUGCUAGGAAAUUUACCUAACUUGAGAGAUAAUUCAAAAAUAACAGGGCUAUUCUGGGCAACCUCACUGAUGUCUCACAAGUCACAAUAACCUCAUAACUCGAGUAAAACUCGAUUUUGUGACUUUUUCGUAUUCUAACGAAAACCUCACAGUCACAAGAACCUCAUAAGGUGUGGUGAGUUUGAUUUUGUGAGGUUUUUGGAAUUCUGGCGUAACCUCACAACUUUUUCUCAGAAGUCAUCGUUGUACAUUUGCGAUGCAUGGCUGCAUCGGCGUUACUUUGGACAACGAUUUUUUUAAUCACAGCAUAAUGAUUUUAUGCUUGAGAUCCAAAGAGAGCUAGAUUAGCUCAAGGAGUGACCAUCAUUCAUCAUAUCGCUCAAAUCAAAAGAGAACGAAGUUCAUGGACGCACAACGAACGAGCCAUGUUCGAACCAUAGGAUUUCUUUGCAUUUCUUAAACACAACAACCACCCCUAUCUUAUGAUUCCAUUACAUAUAAAGUUAUCAAAGAGUUGGAGGCUGUUGUGCCAAAGAAUUGUAUCAUUGCAACCAACACAAAUAUAAUUCCAAUCAAAAAAAUAGCCGCAGGUAGCUUUCGACCACACAAAGUUUUUGGUAUGAAUUAUUUUUCGCCACUGGGCAAGAUGAAAUUGCUGGAAAUUAUAACACACCCACGAACUUCAAAGAACACAGGCUACAAAUGUUGCUGCGGGAUUGAAAAAAGGCACAUUUUUGUCACCAACAGUUGGUUGCGGAUUCCAUACCUAGUACUCGAAAUUUAGGCACUAUGCUUUAAGAAGCUAUCAGGCUUCUUCUUUAGGGUGUUGAUCCAAAAGAUUUGCUGAUGGAGUUGGUAUCGAUGUUGGAUCCUACAUCGCUGUUGACUUAUCAAAAGCAUUUGGUGAAAGAUUCAGUGGAGGGGUGCAUUUUUUUACAACACAAGUCCCUGGGCUAACGAGAAGUCAGUCAGGUGGCUCUUGUAAUCGUCAAACUAAAUUAUUCUUUUACUCCCAAGAGAGCAACUAGCGUUGAAAAUUUAUAUAAUUGCAAAUGGUUUCUCGAGAGCCCAUUUUGGAAGGUGAUAUCGGUGCUUUGUUUUGGGUUGAGAUUCCCUAAAUUUACCUGUGUUCCAUCCCGAACGUUUGAGCAAUAAUCAGCAUAAUUAGUCAACAAUAUGUUAUCGUAUGCCGACUAAAUAAAGUUUCAAUAUUUUGAAUAAAAAGAA